GUUGCUUGUGCCACUGUCAUUGGAUCCAGAAGAAUAUCUUCUCGAUUACCAGAUCACAGCUAAUUUUUUACAGCCGAAGCAAACACCAUAUUAACAGCCUUAAAAUAUAUUGGAAAACAACCUAAACAUAAAGAAUACAUAAUCUUUUCUGACUCUCUUUCGUGCCUUCAGGGGAUUCAAAAUCUUAGUAACGUCCACUUUUAAUUGAACUAAUUGAAUUAUAUAAUGAACUUGCUGCUGGCCAAUACGACAUCGUCCUCUGUUGUAGAGAUGAAAC